rnacentral:rRNA from 1 species
CCUUCGGGACAGAGGAGACAGGUGGUGCAUGGUUGUCGUCAGCUCGUGUCGUGAGAUGUUGGGUUAAGUCCGCAACGAGCGCAACCCUUGAAUUUAGUUGCCAGCACUUCGGGUGGGCACUCUAGAUUGACUGCCGGUGACAAACCGGAGGAAGGCGGGGAUGACGUCAAAUCAUCAUGCCCCUUAUGACCUGGGCUACACACGUACUACAAUGGCCGGUACAACGGGCAGUGAAGGAGCGAUCCGGAACGAAUCCUUAAAAGCCGGUCUCAGUUCGGAUUGCAGGCUGCAACUCGCCUGCAUGAAGUCGGAAUUGCUAGUAAUCGCGGAUCAGCAUGCCGCGGUGAAUACGUUCCCGGGUCUUGUACACACCGCCCGUCACACCACGAGAGUUUACAACACCCGAAGUCGGUAGGGUAACCCGCAAGGGAGCCAGCCGCCCACGGUGGGGUAGAUGAUUGGGGUGAAGUCGUAACAAGGUAGGCGUAGUGCU